AUCGAACGCUGGCGGCAGGCCUAAUACAUGCAAGUCGAGCGGCGAGGCGGACGGGUGAGUACUGCCUAGGAAUUCGCCUGGUGGUGGCGGAUCACGCCCGGGAAGGGGACCUAUUACCGCAUGCUAUCAGAGGAGCCUAGGUCGGCUUAGCUGGUUGGUGGGGUAGCGGCUUACCAAGGCGACGAGCCGUAACUGGUCUGAGAGGAUGAUCAGUCACACUGGAACGGAGACACGGUCCAGACUCCUACGGGAGGCAGCAGUGGGGAAUAUUGGACAAUGGGCGAAAGCCUGAUCCAGCCAUGCCGCGUGUGUGAAGAAGGUCUUCGGAUUGUAAAGCACUUUAAGUUGGGAGGCGUUACCAACAGAAUAAGCACCGGCUAACUUCGUGCCAGCAGCCGCGGUAAUUC
rnacentral:rRNA from 1 species